GCAACGACGUGACCGGAGCCGCGGCACUAGGUAGGGGGGAAGGGUUGGCCGGAUUGUAUGGGCGGAAGGAGCUCGGAGGCAGUUUGGCAAGUCGUGUGGGAAACGUCCAGGCGGAACCUGGAGUCACCACCCGAUACUGCUAUGACUUGAGUCUGGUAGGGGAUCACGGAAUUCCUGGUGUAGCGGUGAAAUGCACAGAUAUCAGGAGGAACACCGGUGGCGAAGGCGGUGAUCUGGGCCAGUACUGACGCUCAAGAGCGAAAGCGUGGGUAGCGAACAGGAUUAGAUACCCUAGUAGUC
rnacentral:rRNA from 1 species